rnacentral:rRNA from 1 species
CAGUCGCCACGGUAAAACGAAGGGGGCUAGCGUUGUUCGGAAUUACUGGGCGUAAAGCGCACGUAGGCGGACAUUUAAGUCAGGGGUGAAAUCCCGGGGCUCAACCCCGGAACUGCCUUUGAUACUGGGUGUCUAGAGUAUGGAAGAGGUGAGUGGAAUUCCGAGUGUAGAGGUGAAAUUCGUAGAUAUUCGGAGGAACACCAGUGGCGAAGGCGGCUCACUGGUCCAUUACUGACGCUGAGGUGCGAAAGCGUGGGGAGCAAACAGGAUUAGAUACCCCCGUAGUCCCUGUCUCUUAUAC